UACGUAGGUCCCGAGCGUUGUCCGGAUUUAUUGGGCGUAAAGCGAGCGCAGGUGGUUUAUUAAGUCUGGUGUAAAAGGCAGUGGCUCAACCAUUGUAUGCAUUGGAAACUGGUAGACUUGGGUGCAGGAGAGGAGAGUGGAAUUCCAUGUGUAGCGGUGAAAUGCGUAGAUAUAUGGAGGAACACCGGUGGCGAAAGCGGCUCUCUGGCCUGUAACUGACACUGAGGCUCAAAAGCGUGGGGAGCAAACAGG
rnacentral:rRNA from 1 species